GGUUAAGCGACUAAGCGUACACGGUGGAUGCCCUGGCAGUCAGAGGCGAUGAAGGACGUGCUAAUCUGCGAUAAGCGUCGGUAAGGUGAUAUGAACCGUUAUAACCGGCGAUUUCCGAAUGGGGAAACCCAGUGUGAUUCGUCACACUAUCAUUACGUGAAUACAUAGCGUAAUGAAGCGAACCGGGGGAACUGAAACAUCUAAGUACCCCGAGGAAAAGAAAUCAACCGAGAUUCCCCCAGUAGCGGCGAGCGAACGGGGAGCAGCCCAGAGUCUGAAUCAGCUUGUGUGUUAGUGGAACGGUCUGGAAAGUCCGACGGUACAGGGUGAUAGUCCCGUACACCAAAAUGCACAGGUUGUGAACUCGAAGAGUAGGGCGGGACACGUGGUAUCCUGUCUGAAUAUGGGGGGACCAUCCUCCAAGGCUAAAUACUCCUGACUGACCGAUAGUGAACCAGUACCGUGAGGGAAAGGCGAAAAGAACCCCGGCGAGGGGAGUGAAAAAGAACCUGAAACCGUGUACGUACAAGCAGUGGGAGCAUCCUUUUGGGUGUGACUGCGUACCUUUUGUAUAAUGGGUCAGCGACUUAUAUUCUGUAGCAAGGUUAACCGUAUAGGGGAGCCGAAGGGAAACCGAGUCUUAACUGGGCGUUAAGUUGCAGGGUAUAGACCCGAAACCCGGUGAUCUAGCCAUGGGCAGGUUGAAGGUUGGGUAACACUAACUGGAGGACCGAACCGACUAAUGUUGAAAAAUUAGCGGAUGACUUGUGGCUGGGGGUGAAAGGCCAAUCAAACCGGGAGAUAGCUGGUUCUCCCCGAAAGCUAUUUAGGUAGCGCCUCGUGAAUUCAUCUUCGGGGGUAGAGCACUGUUUCGGCUAGGGGGUCAUCCCGACUUACCAACCCGAUGCAAACUGCGAAUACCGAAGAAUGUUAUCACGGGAGACACACGGCGGGUGCUAACGUCCGUCGUGAAGAGGGAAACAACCCAGACCGCCAGCUAAGGUCCCAAAGUCAUGGUUAAGUGGGAAACGAUGUGGGAAGGCACAGACAGCCAGGAUGUUGGCUUAGAAGCAGCCAUCAUUUAAAGAAAGCGUAAUAGCUCACUGGUCGAGUCGGCCUGCGCGGAAGAUGUAACGGGGCUAAACCAUGCACCGAAGCUGCGGCAGCGACACUAUGUGUUGUUGGGUAGGGGAGCGUUCUGUAAGCCGUUGAAGGUGUAUCGUGAGGUAUGCUGGAGGUAUCAGAAGUGCGAAUGCUGACAUAAGUAACGAUAAUGCGGGUGAAAAACCCGCACGCCGGAAGACCAAGGGUUCCUGUCCAACGUUAAUCGGGGCAGGGUGAGUCGACCCCUAAGGCGAGGCCGAAAGGCGUAGUCGAUGGGAAACAGGUUAAUAUUCCUGUACUUGGUGUUACUGCGAAGGGGGGACGGAGAAGGCUAUGUUAGCCGGGCGACGGUUGUCCCGGUUUAAGCAUGUAGGCGGAGGUUCCAGGUAAAUCCGGUACCUUUUUAACGCUGAGGUGUGAUGACGAGGCACUACGGUGCUGAAGUAACAAAUGCCCUGCUUCCAGGAAAAGCCUCUAAGCAUCAGGUAACACGAAAUCGUACCCCAAACCGACACAGGUGGUCAGGUAGAGAAUACCAAGGCGCUUGAGAGAACUCGGGUGAAGGAACUAGGCAAAAUGGUGCCGUAACUUCGGGAGAAGGCACGCUGAUAUGUAGGUGAAGUGAUUUACUCAUGGAGCUGAAAUCAGUCGAAGAUACCAGCUGGCUGCAACUGUUUAUUAAAAACACAGCACUGUGCAAACACGAAAGUGGACGUAUACGGUGUGACGCCUGCCCGGUGCCGGAAGGUUAAUUGAUGGGGUUAUCCGUAAGGAGAAGCUCUUGAUCGAAGCCCCGGUAAACGGCGGCCGUAACUAUAACGGUCCUAAGGUAGCGAAAUUCCUUGUCGGGUAAGUUCCGACCUGCACGAAUGGCGUAAUGAUGGCCAGGCUGUCUCCACCCGAGACUCAGUGAAAUUGAACUCGCUGUGAAGAUGCAGUGUACCCGCGGCAAGACGGAAAGACCCCGUGAACCUUUACUAUAGCUUGACACUGAACACUGGUCCUUGAUGUGUAGGAUAGGUGGGAGGCUUUGAAGUGUGGACGCCAGUCUGCAUGGAGCCAUCCUUGAAAUACCACCCUUUAAUGGCUGGUGUUCUAACGUGGACCCGUUACCCGGGUUGCGGACAGUGUCUGGUGGGUAGUUUGACUGGGGCGGUCUCCUCCUAAAGAGUAACGGAGGAGCACGAAGGUUAGCUAAUCCUGGUCGGACAUCAGGAGGUUAGUGCAAAGGCAUAAGCUAGCUUGACUGCGAGAGUGACGGCUCGAGCAGGUGCGAAAGCAGGUCUUAGUGAUCCGGUGGUUCUGAAUGGAAGGGCCAUCGCUCAACGGAUAAAAGGUACUCCGGGGAUAACAGGCUGAUACCGCCCAAGAGUUCAUAUCGACGGCGGUGUUUGGCACCUCGAUGUCGGCUCAUCACAUCCUGGGGCUGAAGUAGGUCCCAAGGGUAUGGCUGUUCGCCAUUUAAAGUGGUACGCGAGCUGGGUUUAGAACGUCGUGAGACAGUUCGGUCCCUAUCUGCCGUGGGCGCUGGAGAAUUGAGGGGGGCUGCUCCUAGUACGAGAGGACCGGAGUGGACGCAUCACUGGUGUUCGGGUUGUCAUGCCAAUGGCAUUGCCCGGUAGCUAAAUGCGGAAGAGAUAAGUGCUGAAAGCAUCUAAGCACGAAACUUGCCCCGAGAUGAGUUCUCCCUGAGACUUUAAGUCUCCUGAAGGAACGUUGAAGACGACGACGUUGAUAGGUCGGGUGUGUAAGCGUAGCGAUACGUUGAGCUAACCGAUACUAAUGAACCGUGAGGCUUAACCUU
rnacentral:rRNA from 1 species